rnacentral:rRNA from 1 species
UGCAUGACCUGGUGAUCCAUCAAAUGGAAUGUAGUGCAAAGGCAGAAGGGAGCUUGACUACAAGACCCACCCGUCAAGCAGGGAUGAAAGUCGGCCUUAAU